UACCAAUAAAGAUGACAUGUAAAGGAUCGAGAAUCUUAAACUAUGAUAUGCCUAUUAAUCAUAUCGAUACUAUCAUUUUUUUAAUAUUCAUUCGAGUUAAAGAUCAAUUAAAUCUAUAUAAUUUUUUUGUUAAAAUAAAAAAAGAGCAUGGUAAAUAAUGAAUUGUUACAAAAAAAAUAUCAAAGAGGAUUAUCAUGCAACACACUUUCACAUAUCUAUAAAUGCACAGAGAG
rnacentral:lncRNA from 1 species